rnacentral:lncRNA from 1 species
UUUCACAAUCCCAGAAUCAACAAGCCCCUUUACACCAGAUUUCGUCUCCUCAAAUUCCUUGAGCUCUUUAAUCCGGUCAUUAAUUUGUGCAGAUACAGGUAGGGACUCUUUGAGGGUCGACAUAUUCAUUUUCUGUUUGUUCUUCACAACUAAGAGAGAGAGAGAGAGAGAGUUGGAACAAUAUUGAUCAAACUCUGUAGGAGCGAGUUACACUGUUGAACUACUUUAUUUAAAAGAUUUAAUCGUUAAAAAUGGAACAUUAAUUUUCAUUAUAUAUAUAUGUAUGUGUGUGUGUAUAUAUAUAUA